rnacentral:tRNA from 1 species
UCCCUGGUGGCUCAGAUGGUAAAGCGUCUGCCUACAAUGCAGGAGACCUGGGUUUGAUCCCUGGCUCGGGAA